rnacentral:rRNA from 1 species
CCAAUAGCGUAUAUUAAAGUUGUUGCAGUUAAAAAGCUCGUAGUUGAAUCUUGGGUCUGGCCGGGCGGUCCGCUUUCUGGGUGAGCACUGUUCCGACGCCGGGCCUAUCCGUCUGGUGAGUCGGCAUGUCCUUUAUGGGGUGUGCCGGGGAACCAGGACCAUUACCUUGAAAAAAUUAGAGUGUUCAAAGCAGGCGUAUGCUCGGAUACAUUAGCAUGGAAUAAUGAAAUAGGACGCGUGGUGCUAUUUUGUUGGUUUCUAGAACCGCCGUAAUGAUUAAUAGGGAUAGUUGGGGGCAUUAGUAUUCCAUUGUCAGAGGUGAAAUUCUUGGAUUUAUUGAGGACUAACUUCUGCGAAAGCAUUUGCCAAGGAUGUUUUCAUUAAUCAAGAACGAAAGUUAGGGGAUCGAAGACGAUCAGAUACCGUCGUAGUCUUAACCAUAAACUAUGCCGACUAGGAAUCGGGCGAUGUUAUUCUCAUGACUCGCCCGGCGCCUUAUG